rnacentral:lncRNA from 10 species
AAAAAAAAAAUGGACUAGGGGCGUGAGCCAUCAUGCCCGGCCUUGGGUGCUAUUUUGAACCCCUUUGAUGCCCUGUGAGCAGCUCUCACUUGCCACUCACCCAAUGCCUGGGGGGCAGGGAGGUCGACGCUUCAUGGAGAUUUCCAUAGGAUGGAUGCCUGGUCCAGCAGGGUCCCAAUGGGCAGGGGCAGAGGCAGGCAGAGGAAAGGGUCACAAAUCUCAUAGCCCUAGAAGGGAGUGAGAAGAGGAACUGGCGGGCACAGCCACUCACAUCAUAGCAGAGGACCUGCACCGUCAAAGCCAAACUAGCAGCAUGUCCAAGACCCAAAUCCUUCAUCUGCUUACCCUCCUUCCCACCUCCCCCAAAACUGUUUCUAGCAUGUCCCCCUCCCCAUAGAAGGCAUCAUCACCCCCUCCACUCUUCACCCCCCCCCCAAAGCCAGCCAGUCCACAGCUAUCCCUUUCGGUCCCACCUGCAGCCAGCCCCUAAACCUACCACUGCCCUCAGUCGUGGGGUCUCUUCCUUCCUGGUGGUGACAGGGCCUUCUGAGUUUGCUAAGCACAGAUCUACACUGCAUCAAAGAGAUCAGAGAGGUGACUGGGAAAGGCAGAUUUGGUCAUGGUCCUCCCCAGCUAAAAACCUGUUGCCCUCAGGAGGAAGUCUGAGCCCGCCUUAGCUCCAUGGCCUCAGCUUCUGCAGUCUCCGUAUCAUCCACAGCUCACAGCCUCCUGCCGAUCAGUCAGCACGUCUUUCCAGACCUUCUGCUUGAAAUGCGAGUCUUCUAACAACUUGCCUGCUGAACUCCUACUCCUCCUUUCAGGGCUCAGCUUAAGCAUCGCCUGUGGCCAGGGCUCAGGGCCUGCCCUGCACCUUUCAUAUCGCCUCUCUGGGAGUGGCUUGUUUAAACAUCCCGGGAGCCUGGAGAGGUGGUAUCACAGGCAUUUGAACCAGAGCGACUCCAUCUUGAGUGAGGGCUAGGAAAAUGAAGUUGGGACUUGCAUUCCCAGAAGGCUAUUCCCAGC